UUAAUAUUUUUGGUUAAAUUGAAGUUUAAUUUUUUUUUUUGAUGUUAAUUUUUAAUUUUUUGGGUGAAAUAGUUAAAAUUUAAAUAANUUUAAUUUGAUUCUUUGAAAAUUAAAAUUUAAACUA
rnacentral:rRNA from 1 species